rnacentral:rRNA from 1 species
GGGACACGUGGUAUCCUGUCUGAAUAUGGGGGGACCAUCCUCCAAGGCUAAAUACUCCUGACUGACCGAUAGUGAACCAGUACCGUGAGGGAAAGGCGAAAAGAACCCCGGCGAGGGGAGUGAAAAAGAACCUGAAACCGUGUACGUACAAGCAGUGGGAGCACAGAGCAAUCUGUGUGACUGCGUACCUUUUGUAUAAUGGGUCAGCGACUUAUAUUCUGUAGCAAGGUUAACCGAAUAGGGGAGCCGAAGGGAAACCGAGUCUUAACUGGGCGUUAAGUUGCAGGGUAUAGACCCGAAACCCGGUGAUCUAGCCAUGGGCAGGUUGAAGGUUGGGUAACACUAACUGGAGGACCGAACCGACUAAUGUUGAAAAAUUAGCGGAUGACUUGUGGCUGGGGGUGAAAGGCCAAUCAAACCGGGAGAUAGCUGGUUCUCCCCGAAAGCUAUUUAGGUAGCGCCUCGUGAAUUCAUCUCCGGGGGUAGAGCACUGUUUCGGCAAGGGGGUCAUCCCGACUUACCAACCCGAUGCAAACUGCGAAUACCGGAGAAUGUUAUCACGGGAGACACACGGCGGGUGCUAACGUCCGUCGUGAAGAGGGAAACAACCCAGACCGCCAGCUAAGGUCCCAAAGUCAUGGUUAAGUGGGAAACGAUGUGGGAAGGCCCAGACAGCCAGGAUGUUGGCUUAGAAGCAGCCAUCAUUUAAAGAAAGCGUAAUAGCUCACUGGUCGAGUCGGCCUGCGCGGAAGAUGUAACGGGGCUAAACCAUGCACCGAAGCUGCGGCAGCGACGCUUAUGCGUUGUUGGGUAGGGGAGCGUUCUGUAAGCCUGCGAAGGUGUGCUGUGAGGCAUGCUGGAGGUAUCAGAAGUGCGAAUGCUGACAUAAGUAACGAUAAAGCGGGUGAAAAGCCCGCUCGCCGGAAGACCAAGGGUUCCUGUCCAACGUUAAUCGGGGCAGGGUGAGUCGACCCCUAAGGCGAGGCCGAAAGGCGUAGUCGAUGGGAAACAGGUUAAUAUUCCUGUACUUGGUGUUACUGCGAAGGGGGGACGGAGAAGGCUAUGUUGGCCGGGCGACGGUUGUCCCGGUUUAAGCGUGUAGGCUGGU